GAUGAACGCUGGCGGCGUGCUUAACACAUGCAAGUCGAACGGUGAAGGCGGAGCUUGCUCUGCUGGAUCAGUGGCGAACGGGUGAGUAACACGUGAGCAAUCUGCCCCUGACUCUGGGAUAAGCGCUGGAAACGGCGGCUAAUACUGGAUACGAGCUGCUAAGGCAUCUUCAGCAGCUGGAAAGAAUUUCGGUUGGGGAUGAGCUCGCGGCCUAUCAGCUUGUUGGUGAGGUAAUGGCUCACCAAGGCGUCGACGGGUAGCCGGCCUGAGAGGGUGACCGGCCACACUGGGACUGAGACACGGCCCAGACUCCUACGGGAGGCAGCAGUGGGGAAUAUUGCACAAUGGGCGAAAGCCUGAUGCAGCAACGCCGCGUGAGGGACGACGGCCUUCGGGUUGUAAACCUCUUUUAGCAGGGAAGAAGCGAAAGUGACGGUACCUGCAGAAAAAGCGCCGGCUAACUACGUG
rnacentral:rRNA from 1 species